GCGAGCUUGAUGCAUAUGGCGUCAUUCUCGUGUGGAAAGUGGUCGUGACAGGAUGUGUUACUUUUGUGCGUGAUUUUAUUUCUACUUCGCCACGAUUUAUGGACUACAAUUAGCUUCAUUUAUUUGAUUUUUUUGCAUUUUUCUACUUACAUCCUUUAUACGUGAAAAUAGCUUUCAUGGUGUCUUGUUAUUGGGUUAUAACAACUUCGAGGACAACAUCCUUCGCAUCUGACGAUGGAUUUCGUAGUUAUCAUCCUCUCUCGUGGUGGUUGAUCUGGUAAUUGACGUCGUUUUUCAAUCAUAAUUUUAGAUUAAAAAAAUUUCAUUAGAAAGAAACGACGAUUAUAUCGCAAAUAUUAGCUUUUGGAAAGCGAUGUCGAGCCAAGAUCUACGUGAUCCACUCCAAUCCAAGUCCUGGAAGAUUUCCUUUGGGUAUCCUGGUCAUCUGGACUGCAGAUAUCAUUUUAUUUGCCUUUAUCUUUGUGACACGUCGUGAAACUUCCUCAAGAUAUCACCUGUCUCUACUCGAUGACAGCCUUCUCGAUAUUCCGGAUCACGAUAAUGAUAUCCUUGGCAUCUGAUAGUUUCCUGCUUAUUCUCAUCGAUAAAUCAUCGAUCAACAUCUUCCUCUGUAAUUUCAUCCUUUCGAAGAUAGGAAAAUGUACAAUCCACGGUUACGAACGGUUAGAGAGUAUGAUGUUAUCGUGAAAACGGAGAGGAAGAGAAACGUGAAAGUGCGCCGGCAUUUUAUGACAGGUGUAAACGCAUUCCUUGGUGGGUUGGCGCGUGUACGACGUCGUUCGAACGAGAACAGAGAUCUGUGCGGGAAAUAGCUCGUUCGAUGGUUUACGGGCCGUGGCCACGGUUCUGCAGAUGGCUACGGAGAAUUAAAUGGACGACAGACACAGGUUUCUGCAACAGUCCAACACAGCCCAACGCCUAAUUGUAAGCCUAAUCACCCGAAGCAAAACGAGUCUUAAUAUAUUCAUACACGCGAGCAGAUGAUCGCACCUUCCUCCGAUAAUGGUCGUUCUUCAUCACGGACAUUUGUCGAAUUCGAGCAAUUAGUCCGCGAACAACGACCACUGACGAGUACGAGUAGUCGAAGGAUUGGAGGGAACAUCGGGCGUUUAAGUGGGGAAGGGAAAGAAGAACAGGAACAAGAAGAGACGAGAAGAGCUUAAGAGGAACGGCACGGAAGUUAAGUCGAAGUAUCAUUAACCUGGUGGAGGUUGUUUCGGUUAAUGAGGUGGUCCACCUGGACGCAACCUGGACUUGUAAGCUGCUUCUUACCGUCCCCAUCCCCCUGUUCUUGCGCUUGAUAUUGUGAACAAUAUGCGUCUGAUACACGCGCAGAAACGGAUCGUACCAUCGUAUCAUCGAAACCUGUUCAUCAAAAAUCUUUGAAAAAUCGUCGAAAAACAUCGGGAGGGAAAAAGAAGAUGAAAAGAGAGAGAGAGAAAAAAAAGAAAAAUAAAAAUUAACGAGUCAAUCCAAAAAUGUAAUUAGCUUGAAGGAGAUUUUAAUAUCCGAUCCUCUAUAUAUAUAUAUAUGUACACGUGUCUUACUGAAAGGAAAUUGGCAUAAUAAAACGAAGGCGUGGGUAAAAGUGAAGCUGACAUGAUGAUAGUUCUGUAGGACGAUUAGGAGAACAAAGGAGGGGGCGAGGGAGGCUUAUCUGGCGGGCAAAAUGUCAAUUAACACCGAAUCAAUGGGGGAUUUAAAGGAUCGAUUGACAAUGGAAAAGAUGGAUUCUGUGCCAGGAUGUUUCGAACUCGCACCACGUUCCGCUUUUUUAUGGCUGUUCGUUAGCAGAGUUGCCUGCCUACGCCCGAGUUAAAGCUAGUUUGCAGAAAGAGUUCGGUGAAGGAAUACCCGGAACAACCACUUAACGUGAAAAAUAUGAGAUAGAGGAAAAGAGUCGAGGAAGGUACAUGAACGUCUGUCGUUCCCUAAUUGCACGGUUCAAAGGCUCUGCUUCUAAUUUCGAGCUACUUACGUCCCGGAGAAACGCUCGAUAUGGAAGUAAUAAGGAGCUUAUGGAUCGGUAAGUCUUCGGUUACAAAAGCCGUAUCGAUCAAACGGAGACAGAAAAAGUGGGAGGGAAUUCUUCUGAUUCUUGGAAGUGAUUCAAUUUUCGAGUAACCCGGAUAUUCUUCCCCCUCGAAGGAAAAUAUGGUAACUUCGAUGCAAGAAACGAACAGAUUCUAGGAAUAUUGAUGAAUGGGAUGUGAAAGACUGUUUCGUGUUCACAGUGUGUUGAAGAAUAUGGCGUGGACGAUUUUCAAUGCGAAAGUCGAAUGAAACUUUUCAAAUUUCUUUUUUUUUUAAGAAAUAACAAAUAAUAGAUGUUGUAAAUGCAUCGAUAAACAAUUAAAUUAUCUAGCUUUUAUAUAUUUUAUAGGAAUUAUAAUUGUCUCAAUUUAUUUGUCUCUCUAAGAUAUUAUUCUAUAUAAUUUCUUUAAAAUUUAUACCACUUUAUUCGCAAGUAUUCUCAAGAACUUUCAUGGAAUAAAUAACUUGGAUUUUCUAUUUUAUCUUGAUCUUUUUUUUAAUAAAAAGCCAUCAAUCACCUUCAUUCGAUCAGAAACAAGUCGAAAAAAAAGGAGUAACCAAGAAAAACAUUCGCGACUUGAUUAAACGUUCUCAUCAAAGAUCGACCGAUACUAAACUACGAAUCGACGAACUGGAAUUUAACGUUCUUCCUCUCUACUUUUAAAGCUUCCCAAAGAUCCGAGAUUCUGAUCUCGAGAGCUUUAGAAACGGGUAAACAAGGAGCAAGAACCUGAGGGUCCAUCCAUUUGACUAAAUAUCCCGCCAAUUCGCUUCAAUUUCAACUCAUUCGCUCUAUUUCUUUAAUCCAAAAAAGAUGCAAAAGAUUGCUUCAACGUGACUUCGUCCCUUUUUUCUUUUUUACAUUUUUUUUUUUAUAUAAAUCGAAAUUUCUUUUCUUUCUCCUUCAUUUAUUCUCUCUCUAUUUCUCAAAGCUCGUUCCUUUUCGACUUAUCUUCCUUCAAAUCGGGCAACGAGACACUUUCACCGGAAGAAGAUGGAUCCUAUCUUCGUGUUCCGCAAGAUUUCCUUAGAUCCGGUUGUGGAAGUACAGCCCAUUCCUGUCGUCCACCCUAGCUGAAACCUCCCCUGUUUCCCAAAGCAAUUUCUCUUUCUCUCUCUCUCUCUCUCUCUCUCUCUCCCUUUAAAUAGGGGCCGUCGCCCCUGGCUGCUUUUUCGUGGACCACCCCUCUCUAAUUGACCCAGUUCGCGGGAUAAGUAUCUUCAUCGCGCGGACGAUAUGGAAAGUUGACUUUCCAGACUCUUUCCUGUUUUCUUGCUACUCGUGAGGUUAGGUGGAAGGGUGGAAUUGUUUUUUUUAUUGUAUGCAGAUACGGAGAGAGAUGUUGAAUUUAGAAUGAACGAUUUUCAUGAUUAUUGCGCUUUUUGGGUUAAUUUAGUGAGCGUAAAUUCUCAAAAGGAAGAGUGUCGAUGUAAAGGUAUCAAUAUUGUAUUUUUUUUUUUUUGUAUGAUAGAUGAGGAUUCGUGCGAUGAGACAGAAUCGCUGGAUUUAGAAUAAUAUAGGAUUAUCGCGCUUUUUGAAAUAACUUAAUGAGCCUAAAUUUUCAAAAGUUGAAUACGAAGAGUGUCAAUAUAGAAAUAUCGAGAUUGCGUUUGAAAUUGUUAGAAUUAUAAAAUUUAAAAUCCAGAAAUUUCCCCAAAAAUCAAUUAAUUUUGUUUAAAUCCUUACGAUUAAUUGGUUCACUUAUUUCGCGUAUAAUUGUACCCAUUUAUUUUAUUAUUAUGUACUUUUUAAUAAAUAUUUACAGAUACGAUAAUGUAUACGCGACAGAUGGAGAAUUUUCUCACGAUAAUUAAUCGCGAAAUUCGUAGAUGGAGGAUCGCGGCCUCUAGACUUGCGACUAGAUUGAAACGAGGGAGGAAGACGGGAUAGAGAGAGGGGGAGCGAGGGAAAGAGAAUAAUUCGUUUGCUUUUGAAACCGACGUGGCUUUUCCCCGUGGCCCGGUCCGUAACGAAGGGUUAAGUAAAGUAAUAACCGAGUAAUCGUUUAACCCGCGGUGUGCGAGUACACCAGGGAACACGGGAGAGAAUGGAGACGACGAGGGGAUCCGACGACGUCUCAACCGCUAUUCCAUCCGCGGAGGAAACACGAGUCUAACGAGGUGAAUCGUAUCCCGCGAAUAUUAGAAUGCAAAUUAACGAGGACGUGUAACGAUGAAGGUUUAAAUCAUUUUUGUUCAACGUCUUUCGCUCGAAUAUAUUUUAAAUAUUAAAUAUUUUCCUGUUAUUCCUUUAUUUAUGGAAUAUCUUUAUUUAAGCUGACGUUGUCAAUGGAUUUCUACUGGAGAGAAGAUAUAAUAAUAAAAACUAAUUUUAUAUUUUAUAUCUUACAUUCCAGAUUCCAAAUUAAUCUUUCCUCACGAGUGAUCCAAUACCCUGAAACUUCUGCAAUCUACCCUAAUUUGAAUCCUCCUCAAAAAAAAAAAAUCAAUCUCACCACACGAGUUCGAAACCAUUCCAAUCAAAUUCCUCUAAAAAAAAAAAAUCGUUUCUGACAACCCACCAUAACAAACUCGAUUUCCCUGAAGAACAUUCAAAGAAAAUCCACCCCUCGACGAUUGAUUCGAGGAACCUUCCUCUUUAAGCUCGUUGACGCCGGAUCCUCUGGGCUUCCUCCUCCCCUUCCCCUUCGGGAAGAGACAAAAGCGAAGGAAGAGGCGUCCUGCCUAUAUCGAUCGAACAAGGUACACCCCAGACGAGAGAAAUUCUCCAAAGCUGACCCUGAUCGAUACCUCCACCGUCUCCUCCUCCUCCUCCUCCACCUCGCUGUGUUUUCUUCCUUCCAUGCCUUUCCCCUCGGAUUUAUUCCUCUUCUCUUCCUUCCACCCCCUCCUUUCUUCCCUCCCUCGAAAACCCAGCCCAAGUUUUUUCGAGUCGCGACAAAGCUUGGAAACGUUGGGCCGGGAUUACGCGACCCUCCCCUUCGGGAUUAGAGAGCGUGGAUUUAUCGAGAUGUUUCGUGAGUUGGGCCGGGUGUUGUAUAGUCGGCUGUUGGUUUGGAGUACAGGUAUUUUUGGCCGUGACUCGCAUUAUUGAUUAAUUGCGCGUGAAACUAUUACGCUUGUGUUUGGCGUUUGUUUUUGGGGGUCGGGUUUUCUCUUCGGGAGAUAAACUGUUUCGAGUUGAUCUCGACUUCACGCGAGACGUGACUUGAUAAUCCUUUCGAAGCUGAUGGGACGAAUGUGUUCAACGGGCGAGAAGAUUAGAUAUAAUUAGAAGAAAUUUGAUAAUUUGUAGUUAUUGACGAUUAUUGUUAGAUUUGCGGAUCUUCGAUGCAAGAUAAAAUUGAAUAUGUUGGUUUUUGGAUUUUGCGGAGUGUUUCGAUUUUAAUGUUACGUAAGAUGUGAUUUAGUUCUUUCGAAAUUGAUGGAAUGAAUUGAUCCGAUGUUCAUGAAAAUAUUGGAUAUAAUUAGAAGAAAUUUACGAUUAAUUAUCAAUUAUAUAAUUACAAAAUUUUGUUAGUAGAACUGCGGUUGUUCGAUGCAAAAUAAAAUUUAAAUAUGUUGGUUUUUGGAUUUCGCGGAGACAAAGUGAUUUAAUCCUUUUGAUGCGAUGUAACUUUUAUGGUAAAAAAGAUUGGAUAAGGUGUAAUUAAAAUAAAUAUAUGAUUAAGAAAUAUUUGAAUAUGAAUGUAACACGAGUACAGGAAUGGAGUUAAAAGAGAGAUUAUUUUGUGUAAAAAUUAUCGUGUGCAUUGCUAAAAGAAAAUCUCAUCUCGAAAGGAUUAAGAAAUAAGAUGUUGUCGUUACACCUAUAUUAAAAUAUAUUACCAUAAAUGAAUUAAAAUAGAAUUUUUUACGAAAUAUCGAAAAUUUAUUUUUGAAUUUAAGGAAACACAAGUUGCAAGUAUUCCGAAUACAAUCUCUCUGACGAAAAAACUAAAUUUUUAAUAUUUUCAAACUUCAGAGAAAUUUUCCAUCUCCGUCUUAUAUUUAUUACUUUUCUUUUUCUCCUUCCCCCAAGUAAAAAAAUUCAAUUAUAAAAAAAAAAAGAAAGAAAGAAAAAGGAGAGAAGAGAAAAUUCUCGUCGCGAUUGAUACGAAUGAAAACUUUAUCAAACAGGAGAGCGUGCACCCCCUUCUCUAAUUUAAUGAAAUUAAUGGCCGGGGACAAAGAGCGAGGGGAAGCUGGUGAAUUCCAGCGGCCCCAAUUCAGUUUCUUGGCUCAAUAAAAGAAACGCUUGGAGGUAUGUUCUUUGUGCCCUCGUCAGAUAAGUCGUGCUCGAUGGAGGGUUAACAAAACAAAGCGCGGGAGGGUGGUCGAGCUCGGUCGACUUGUUUAGGAAAUAGAAGAAGUUGGCCGUGACACUAGGACACCUGAUAUAUCCGUUGAUUUUUCUUCGCCGCUUUAAACAUCGAACCAUCUUCUUUCAAAUUGCUCGAGCUGAUAUUUGUCAACUGUCUUCCUUUCCCUCGUUCUUUCUUUUUCAAAAAUAAAAUUCAACGGUGGAAUAAGUAGUAAAAAAAAUUAAUAAUUUAAUAUUUUUAUUUCAUAUUAUAAUUUUACAAAAUAGUCCAGAGAAUUUUUAAUAUCAUAGAUAUAGAUAUUAAAAUUGAUUCCAUUUGUCUGAAUUGUAACGAUUAUUAAAAUAAUUAAAAUUAAAAUUAUUCUAAUUAAAUUAAAUUAUUCUAAUUAAAUAAUUGAAAUUUCAAAUUUUACGAUUUUUAUAUUUUAAAUAUUCCCUCUGGGAAAUAUUUUUUCCCAGGAUAUUUAAAUAUUAUAUUUAUACAGGCUUAUUUUAAUCCUGCUAAACUUCGUGCACGCAUUUAUACGGAAUAUCGUUAAUUCGGAUUAAUCAUGAACGAAUCAAAAAACGAGUCCGAUAAAAACGCGAAAUUAUAAUAAAAUAUAUAAAAUUUCUGCUCAAUUCAUAGAUAUUAUUAUAACAACGUUGUUUCAUAAUUUUUUAACCUCCCACUUGUCGCUUUAUUUUCAUUUAUUUCCUCCG